AUACGGAGGGUGCAAGCGUUAUUCGGAAUCACUGGGCGUAAAGGACGCAUAGGCGGGUUGGCAAGUCAGAUGUGAAAUCCUACAGCUUAACUGUAGAACUGCAUUUGAAACUGCUAACCUAGAGUAUGAGAGGGGGAGAUGGAAUUAGUGGUGUAGGGGUAAAAUCCGUAGAUAUCACUAGGAAUACCGAAAGCGAAGGCGAUCUCCUGGAACAUAACUGACGCUAAGGCGUGAAAGCGUGGGGAGCAAACAGAAUUAGAAACCCUAGUAGUCC
rnacentral:rRNA from 1 species